rnacentral:pre_miRNA from 2 species
UCUUUUCGGAUGAGCAAAGGAAGUAGUUUCCUGAGAAAGAAUCUACUCCUGGUGAAGAUGCUGUGAA